AAACCUGCUCCUCCAAAGUGUCUGGGAAGCGGCGAGGUACCAAGGUGGCUGGAUUUCCAGACUGUUGAGUGUGCAGGCGGCGUGUCUCCAAGGUCAUCCAUCACCUGUGAGUUUCUGCUAAGUGAGAAAAGCUAGCACACCAUUCUCUCACCUUCUCCAUCCUGGAGCUGAAGCAGAGAAAAAUAAAUACCACUCCAUCUCAAGGCAGAGAAAAUACCACACUCCAUCCCAAGGCCCUGUGACACAUACAAUUAGAUGCCUUUCCCCAGACUCUUGGAUUUUCACUCGGAGUUGGCUGGAUGGAGCUGAGACUUUAUGGACAGAAUGUCUGGGGCUGGAGAAGUUGAAGCCCAUAAUCCAUGAUGACUGUGUCUUCAAUAGGAACCAUCUGACUGUGUGCCAGCAACCUGAGGGCUUUCUUCAUGAGGCUAAUUCUCUAGUCUGCCAAUCUCUCUCUCUCUCUCUCUCUCUCUCUCCUCCCUCCUUCCCCUCCUUUCUAUAUAAAUAAUCCAGUGUUGGCUUCUUCAUCUGGAGAAACAAUAACUCUUUCACACUCUAUAUGUUAACAUGAGUAUGAUAUGAGAAUGAUAUUAUGUGAGAAGAAAAGUUGAUUCUGGAUUUGGUGUGGUUCUAGAUGAUUCUUAUGGUUUGAGUGUGAGUAUGGUUUGGUAGUGUGGAACGUUUAGGAGGUGGGGCCUAGAGGAAGUGAAUCUCUGAGAACUCCCAGCUUAUCUCCCUCGGCUCCCUCACUGCUAAGGCCCUGUCACUGGACACUACCUCAGUUAUGGCUGUGAGCAGCUCCUGUCUCCAUGAUGAACUGUAUCCUCUGAACCAGGAGUCAGAAUAAAUCCUUCCUUGUU
rnacentral:lncRNA from 1 species